UCCAGACACUGCCAUAGUGCUGUGGUGCAGC
rnacentral:piRNA from 1 species